CCAUAUAAAAUUAAUGUUAACUUUAUUAACAGAAAAUCUUUAAGACUGAUUAUUAUAGAAACGUUUUGACAUUUCAUUUGUUUAAAAAAUAAAAAAAAGAAUGGUUAAAGAGGUCUGCUUUAUCUCUAGACCACAAAGAAGUCCUCAACAGCUGUGAAGCAGCUCAUAUACUUUGCUGAUUAUCAUUGUAAUAAAAUAGUAUGUCAACAAAUUCAUCCUUUGCAAAAUCAUGUUAGCAUUAGAUUAUGUAAAUUAGGCCUAGUGAGGAAAUUUGCAUUGUAACAUGACAUGUUUUUUUUUUUUCUUUUGUUAGGAUUAAAAAUACUUCUCUGAAUAGCAUUCUUGUUUAGGUUGCAGAAGUAAGAUACUUUGUACUGCUUAUAAAUAUAAAGUGAAUGAGUAAUCAGAUGCAUUCCUUAUCCAGAAACAUUCCUGCUGCUCCUCUAAGAGCAGUUCAAGAUAUUAAGACUUCUCAUACAUUGUAUCCAAAGAAAAAUGUUUUACCAGAAAUUAGUAAUAAAAGACGACUUAAAUUUAUGAAUCCUAAAUAAAUCAGUUAUUUAUUAUAUCUGAUUUAAAUAUUAUUAAGAAAACCA